AUUGAACGCUGGCGGCAGGCUUAACACAUGCAAGUCGAGCGGAAACGAUGGUGCUUGCACCAGGCGUCGAGCGGCGGACGGGUGAGUAACGCGUAGGUAUCUACCUAACAGUUUGGGAUAGCCCGGGGAAACUCGGAUUAAUACCGGAUACGAUCUUCGGAUGAAAGCGGGGGCUCUUUGACCUCGUGCUGAUAGAUGACCCUGCGUCGGAUUAGCUAGUUGGUUGGGUAAUGGCUGACCAAGGCGACGAUCCGUAGCUGGUCUGAGAGGAUGAUCAGCCACACUGGGACUGAGACACGGCCCAG
rnacentral:rRNA from 1 species